ACUCCUUUAACUCAGUGGUUAGAGUUCGGUUUUUUUACAGCCGCGGUCGCUGGUUCGAGUCCAGUAAGGAGUA
rnacentral:tRNA from 1 species